rnacentral:rRNA from 1 species
AUACGGAGGAUCCGAGCGUUAUCCGGAUUUAUUGGGUUUAAAGGGAGCGUAGAUGGAUGUUUAAGUCAGUUGUGAAAGUUUGCGGCUCAACCGUAAAAUUGCAGUUGAUACUGGAUAUCUUGAGUGCAGUUGAGGCAGGCGGAAUUCGUGGUGUAGCGGUGAAAUGCUUAGAUAUCACGAAGAACUCCGAUUGCGAAGGCAGCCUGCUAAGCUGCAACUGACAUUGAGGCUCGAAAGUGUGGGUAUCAAACAGGAUUAGAUACCCUGGUAGUCCACACGGUAAACGAUGAAUACUCGCUGUUUGCGAUAUACGGCAAGCGGCCAAGCGAAAGCGUUAAGUAUUCCACCUGGGGAGUACGCCGGCAACGGUGAAACUCAAAUGAAUUGGCGGGG